CUUAAUUUGACUCAACACGGGGAAACUUACCAGGUCCAGACAUAGUAAGGAUUGACAGACUGAGAGCUCUUUCUUGAUUCUAUGGGUGGUGGUGCAUGGCCGUUCUUAGUUGGUGGAGCGAUUUGUCUGGUUAAUUCUGUUAACGAACGAGACCUCAGCCUGCUAACUAGCUAUGUGGAGGUAACCCUCCACAGCCAACUUCUUAGAGGGACUAUGGCCGCUUAGGCCACGAAAGUUGGAGGCAAUUGUUUUGCGAUGUUUACCUGCAAAGUCUCAAGUCG
rnacentral:rRNA from 1 species